GACGAACGCUGGCGGCGUGCUUAACACAUGCAAGUCGAACGGAAAGGCCCUGCUUGCAGGGUACUCGAGUGGCGAACGGGUGAGUAACACGUGGGUGAUCUGCCCUGCACUUCGGGAUAAGCCUGGGAAACUGGGUCUAAUACCGGAUAGGAGCCAUUUUUAGUGUGAUGGUUGGAAAGUUUUUUCGGUGUAGGAUGAGCUCGCGGCCUAUCAGCUUGUUGGUGGGGUAAUGGCCUACCAAGGCGGCGACGGGUAGCCGGCCUGAGAGGGUGGACGGCCACAUUGGGACUGAGAUACGGCCCAGACUCCGACGGGAGGCAGCAGGGGGGAAGAUUGCACAAUGGGCGCAAGCCUGAUGCAGCGACGCCGCGUGGGGGAUGACGGCCUUCGGGUUGUAAACUCCUUUCGCUAGGGACGAAGCUUUUUGUGACGGUACCUAGAGAAGAAGCACCGGCUAACUACGUG
rnacentral:rRNA from 1 species